CAAGAUCUGACUAUUAUUCAAGUUUCAGAAUAAAGACCACAUGUCAUAGAACAGAUACAAAACAUCUAACACACACAGGUCUAUGAGGUCUGACAUAUGGCUGUCAGACAACUUUUCAAAAUCUUUCCAGAAAUUCUAAAACUUCAUUUUCGUGUACUUUGAUGUUAUGGAUCCAUGUUAUUACAACCCAGAUCACUCAAUAGCAUCAUAAUACACCACUUUAACCAAUCAAUUACAACAAAUAACAUCAGAUCAAAGGAUUUCUAAGUUACGGUUUUUACCACUUUUUGAGCUUUGAUUUUUGAUUCUGACUUCUUUGAUUCUGUUCUUGAUAAUCGUGGGGCUGAUUUUAGUGACUGAAAUGAUAUAAGAAUUCGUGGGUUUGAGAGAAAAAAAAUUGGUGAGAGCAAGAGAGAAAAAUGAGCAACUUUGGUACACUUUUCUCUCUCUUAAUCAAUAUGUAAUGUGAUAUAAUGUUGCUUGAUCU
rnacentral:lncRNA from 1 species